GAGAGUGAUGAGUUGCACACUGG
rnacentral:piRNA from 1 species